AGAGUUUGAUCAUGGCUCAGAUUGAACGCUGGCGGUAUGCUUAACACAUGCAAGUCGAACGGAAACGAAACUAGCUUGCUAGUAGGCGUCGAGUGGCGGACGGGUGAGUAACGCGUAGGAAUCUGCCUGAUAGUGGGGGAUAGCCCGAAGAAAUUCGGAUUAAUACCGCAUAAUCUAUUCGUAGUAAAGUGGGGGACUUUCGAGCCUCAUGCUAUCAGAUGAGCCUGCGUAAGAUUAGCUUGUUGGUAGGGUAAAAGCCUACCAAGGCAACGAUCUUUAGCUGGUCUGAGAGGAUGAUCAGCCACAUCGGGACUGAGACACGGCCCGAACUCCUACGGGAGGCAGCAGUGGGGAAUAUUGGACAAUGGGGGCAACCCUGAUCCAGCAAUACCGCGUGUGUGAAGAAGGCCUGAGGGUUGUAAAGCACUUUCAAUUGUGAAGAAAAGUUAACGGUUAAUAACCGUUGACCUUGACGUUAACUUUAGAAGAAGCACCGGCUAACUCCGUGCCAGCAGCCGCGGUAAUACGGAGGGUGCAAGCGUUAAUCGGAAUUACUGGGCGUAAAGCGUGCGUAGGUGGUUUAUUAAGUCAGAUGUGAAAGCCCCGGGCUUAACCUGGGAACUGCAUUUGAACUGGUCAACUAGAG
rnacentral:rRNA from 1 species